UACGUAGGGAGCAAGCGUUGUCCGGAUUUAUUGGGCGUAAAGAGCUCGUAGGUGGUUCGGUAAGUCAGGUGUGAAACCUCCAGGCUCAACCUGGAGACGCCACUUGAUACUGCUGUGACUGGAGUCCGGUAGGGGAGCGUGGAAUUCCUGGUGUAGCGGUGAAAUGCGCAGAUAUCAGGAGGAACACCAGCGGCGAAGGCGGCGCUCUGGGCCGGUACUGACACUGAGGAGCGAAAGCGUGGGUAGCAAACAGG
rnacentral:rRNA from 1 species